UAGGUCAUAUCACAGAACAGAAAUGGCUUGUGCACAGAUGGCAGCUGGAAAGGAAUAACGGAAGCCCAUGUCCAUGCACUGGGUGGACUAAAUCUUCAGUCUGAUGCAGUCAAGGCAAUCGCUGAAAACCAAGAACCUGUUGGUUUUCAUGUAUCUAAGGUGCAUCUGGUAAUGAGAAGGAACCAGACCGAAGAACUAAGAAGCACUGAUCCUCUGCAGGCGAACUAAGCUACAGGCACUUCAGUUAAUGUCUUCAGUACAAGCAUGUCAAGGAUCAUUUCAGACUAACUUGGAAAGUGAAUACUUGAGAUGAAGACCAACAUUUCAGAGCAUUUCCACUUACAAGAGCAUCAGUAUCUAAGGGGAGCAAGCUUCAAAGAGAAAGCAAAGCUGCACUCAUUUUUGCCUCACCUAGAGGAACACACAGCUAAAAUGCCUCAAAUCCCACCCAGCAGAGAAGCUAAGCACCCUGAGAUUUAUCUUACUGACCAGAAGAAGAACACAACACUCGGACCUUGCAUGUGUGGGCUGAAUGUUUCAAGAUGAAUUUAUCAAGUAGGUUUGAGUAUUGAAAACAGCUGAGGAAGACACAAUAUGUGAGCAGGAAAAAAAUGAAAAAGGUUUAAAUGCAUUAAAUAAAUUAUGGGCAGCAAAUUAGUUGCUCUGCUUUCCCGCCUAAUGAGUUCCUUCGAUGGGAUUUGUAUACACCGGCAUGUUAAGCUACCAAGCUGAAUUACAGAUAGCAUCCCAGGCUGCUUCUGCCCCCGGUAACCAACUCCUCCCAGAACUGGGGGUGAGCGUUUCUGUCAUUUCACUUGACAGCUUUACCCAGAUUGUAAACACCACCACCCAGCAAUAAAGCCCAAUAAUGAAAAGGCAUUACUACCUAUAAAGGGACCCUGCUGCAGGCUAUUCACAUACUUGCCAAAUGGUACUUUAAUUGUGAUGAUGACCAAUUUGGAGAUAAUUGCUUCUGCAUCUCCUGUUGCUUCUGACAGUCCAAUGGACUCUUUAAUUAACUGGUUGAAUUAGCUCUCAGCACAGCAGAGGGGAGCUGUGUGGGUUUACCCUCUGUAGACCCACGACCAGAACAAGGAACUCCAGCAUU